rnacentral:rRNA from 1 species
ACAACUGUGAUGCCCUUAGUAAUGGCGAAUGAAACGGGCAGAGCCCAGCACCGAACUGCCGGUCAUCUCGGCCGCGCGGCAUGUGGUGUUUGGGAGAGUCUCCUCGUAGCUUUGCGACCAGUCCAAGUCCACCUUGACAGGGGCCACGGCCCAUAGAGGGUGAUAGGCCCGUAAGGCGGUUGCAGAGCUGCGCUGACUUUUUCCCUAGAGUCGAGUUGCUUGGGAGUGCAGCUCAAAGUGCGUGGUAAACUCCACGUAAGGCUAAAUAUGACCCCGAGACCGAUAGCGAACAAGUACCGUGAGGGAAAGUUGAAAAGGACUUUGAAGAGAGAGUUCAAGAGUACGUGAAACUGUGUAGUGGUAAACAGAGGCAUUCUCGAAGUCGGAGCUGGAGGUUCAUGCUAACGGGGGCUCUGCUGCUGUUCUCGGGAUCCGCAAGGACUCGGUGCGGUGGUGAGUGUCCUCGGUGGCAGCAUUUCUUUGGCUCUUCACGCAACGAACCGCUGGGACUGGACUGAGGCCGUGGGUGAAGUUUGGGACUUGUCCCAAGCCCCGCGUUCCUAGCUCCGGGCCCGGCGGGUAGCUAAGCAGGCUCGUAUAGCGAGUGUCUUCACUGGCACGGCUUGCAUCUCAGUUGCGAGUAGGUCGGCGGUGCCUCUGACCCGUCUUGAAACACGGACCAAGGAGUCUAACAUGUGUGCGAGUCAUUGGGUUGACUAAACCUAAAGGCGUAGUGAAAGCAAAGGCUACUCAGUAGCUUAGGGAUGAUCUCUCACGAGCGCAAUCCCGGCGCUUCGCAUCGACCUCGCAUCGUGCGGAGCAGCAAGAGCAUACACGUUGGGACCCGAAAGAUGGUGAACUAUGCCUGGCCAGGUUGAAGUCAGGGGAAACCCUGAUGGAGGACCGUAGCGAUUCUGACGUGCAAAUCGAUCGUCGGAGCUGGGUAUAGGGGCGAAAGACUAAUCGAACCAUCUAG